ACGAUCCCAAAACAAGAAGAGACAAAAAUUAAAUAAAUAAAAUUUUAAAAGGCUGGGUAAACCAAGCAAAGGAACACAGGUUUUCAAAAAUCUAUGCCUUUGUAAUGGUAAUAAAACUGCCUGCAGUGUAGUAAAGCCAGAGAUGACUUGGUGGCUUUGUUGUCAGUUAGUAACCAUGGUGGCUUUAAGAAGAACCCCCCCAGCUACUUAUUAAAAUCACAGCCUCUUAGCAUUGAAAGCUCUGCAUCUGUCUCAAGUGAUUAGCUGGCUGCUGGCUCUGCUGUGGAUACCAGGGGGCCGUGAUUGCCACUGCUACAUCACUUCAGCCUCAAGCACCCCGACUAAUCCUAAAAUCAUUUCAGACUAUUGCCAGUUGGUCAGAAAUUAAAGAAAUGAAUAUAGCGGAACCAUGAACGUCGCUCACUUCAAUUUAGAAACGAAGCUGGUGAUAAAGCUGGUGAUAAAGGAGAAGCAGACGGGAUACAACUCGUCAGCAGAAACCAGCAGCUUCAGACAAAGGAACAGGACGAGAAACUAGCAAGAGAUCAUAAGGAACACUCGUUUUUUGUUGUAAACAGUUAUAAAUAGUUGCAAAUAUAUCAAUAAACUUUCAUUAUUUAAUUAUUGAAAAA